GACGAACGCUGGCGGCGUGCUUAACACAUGCAAGUCGAACGGGGAGGCUACAGCUUGGUGGAUUUGAUAAGAGGCGAACAGGUGAGUAACACAUGAGCAACCUGCCCCUGACUGUGUAAGAAGCGCUGGAAACGGCGUCUCAUACUGGAUACGAGAAGGUUCCGCAUGGGCUUUCUCAGGAAAGGAUGGCGGUUCUGUAUGGGCUCGCGGCCUCUCCGCUUGUUAGUGAGGUAAUGGCUCACAAAGGCAACGAAGGAUAGCCCGCCUAAGAGGGCGACCGGCCCCACUGGUACUACGGUACGCCCCAGACUCCUACGUGAGGCAACAGUGGAGAGUAUUGCAGAGUGGGCGCGAGUCAGUUGCAGCGGCGCCGCGUUCGGGAUGACGUCUUUCGAGUUGUAAACCUCUGUCAGCGGGGAAGAAGCGAUAGUGACGGUACCUAAAGAGGAAGCACCGGCUAACUACGUG
rnacentral:rRNA from 1 species